UGUUGACAUUAUAGUUGUGCAGGCACUUUGUUGACUCUAGAGAACCUCGGGCCAAUCGCACAUCCCUGUGACGCCGACUUUGCAUUCGGAUGUCAUCUCUAUCAACUUUUGAUGCCAGUUUCUGUGCCUACCAUGGUAGGUAAUGGGGAAUCAGGGUUCCAUUCUGUACAGGGACCCUGAGAAGCGGCUACCACAUGCAAGGAAGGCAGCAGGCGCGCAAAUAACCCACUCCCGACGCAGGAAGGUAGUGACGACA